rnacentral:rRNA from 1 species
GAUGAACGCUGGCGGCGUGCCUAAUACAUGCAAGUCGAGCGAACGGACGAUAAGCUUGCUUCUCUGAUGUUAGCGGCGCACGGGUGAGUAACACGUGGAUAACCUACUUAUAAGACUGGGAUAACUUCGGGACACCGUAGCUAAUACCGGAUAAUAUUUUGAACCGCAUGGUUCAAAAGUGAAAGACGGUCUUGCUGUCACUUAUAGAUGGAUCCGCGCUGCAUUAGCUAGUUGGUAGGGUAACGGCUUACGAAGGCAACGAUGCAUAUCCGACCUGUGAGGGGGAUCGGCCACACUGGAAGUGAGCCGGGGUCCAGAGUCCUACGGGAGGCAGCAGACGGGAAUCUUCCGCAAUGGUCGAGAGCCUGACGGAGCGGCGCCGCGUGAGUGAUGACGGUCUUCGGAGCGUAAAACUCGGUUAUUAGGGAAGAACAUAUGUGUAAGUAACUGUGCACAUCUUGACGGUACCGAAUCAGAAAGCCACGGCUAACUACGUG